AUUGAACGCUGGCGGCAGGCUUAACACAUGCAAGUCGAGCGGGGGAAGGUAGCUUGCUACCGGACCUAGCGGCGGACGGGUGAGUAAUGCUUAGGAAUCUGCCUAUUAGUGGGGGACAACAUCUCGAAAGGGAUGCUAAUACCGCAUACGUCCUACGGGAGAAAGCAGGGGAUCUUCGGACCUUGCGCUAAUAGAUGAGCCUACGUCGGAUUAGCGAGUUGGUGGGGUAAAGGCCUACCAAGGGGACGAUCUGUGUGGGGUCUGAGAGGAUGGUCCCCCCCACUCGGGCUUGGACACGGCCCAGACUCCUCCGGGAGGGAGAAGUGGGGAAUAUUUUAGAAUGGGGGGAAACCUGAUCCAGCGCUGCCGCGUGUGUGAAGGAGGCCUUAUGGUUGUAAAGCACUUUAAGCGAGGAGGAGGCUACUUUAGUUAAUACCUAGAGAUAGUGGACGUUACUCGCAGAAUAAGCACCGGCUAACUCUGUGCCAGCCGCCGCGGUAAAAC
rnacentral:rRNA from 1 species